CCGCACCUCAGGCUCGCGCUGAAGGAGUGGAACCUCGCGCUGCUGCUCCUCCAGGCUCCCGCCGACCGGCGCUCCCUCCCCGCCGAGGCUUCCUGCAGCAUCGACAGCAUCGUCUCUCCCUCCAUCUUCCUCCGUAUCUAUAAAAUCCUGAGAGGCACGGAAGGCGUAUUCAAGACCAACGGAUUUUCCUUGUCUAAUUGGUUAAAGAAAAGAUCCGAAGGCUGUUAGAACGAAUCAAUGAAUCCCAAUUCAAAUGGCGGGUAGCACAGUGACACAGCGAUAGAGCUGCUGCCUUACAGCGCCAGACGCCCGGGUUCGAUCGUGUUAACAGAUCACAUGAAUGGUUGAUUCUGAAAACCUCCAGCCCAAAUGGGGGAAGUAAAGCUCUUUAGUGAAUUAAAUGCCAACAGACUCAUAGAUGAGUUGAUCUGACAUGGUAUAACCCCAAUUCUAUCCUAGCUGUCAGUUAUCUCAUUUUAAAAGCGCUCUGCUAAAAUGUUUAAAGAAAAUUCACAUGAAUUGGCAAACUUAAUAAUAAUCUUGUUUCAGUUUUCACAGUGGAAAAGAAGAUGCACCUAGUAUUUAGUGGCCUAGCUCAUACUGAAGUUAUUGUAGGUAAGAAAAUGACAUUAUUUAAAAAAAAUAAUGUAAUUCAUUCUCCAGGACCUGUGGGUUUCCACAAUGGUGUUUUAAAGAGAAUGGUUCAUGGAUUUCCAUUGAUGUACAGUGUUAGAGCAGAUAAUUCAGCCCAACCAGCCAUUAAUCCUACCAGGUGGCGAUGGACGGACAGAAGGAAAGAAAGAUUAAUGCCAGUGAGUGGACUGGGUUCUUGUCUCUUGCACCCUCAGAUGUGCUUUGAAUUGUCUGCGGGAGGGGUUCUGGGGGAGUGGACCUGAGCAAUGGCCAUCGGAGACGAGAAGGAUGGCGAGUUUCUGGACUACAUUAGAUCGGGCGCCGCUCUGUGACCAAGAACGUCGAACGGGCGCCUCCUGCAGCAGCAUGGAAUUGUGGAGCAGCUGAAGAGGCACAUCACCUGAUCAAGCCGAUCCCCGCAACACUAACCCAGUGCCGCUGUCAGGACUAACAAGCCUUUAUGGCUAGGUUAAGACUUGGUUUUUAAACUUCAGACCUGAAGGGCUCAAGAUGGUGCCUAAAAUGUGGUGACUCUUAUGUACUGACUCCAGUUUGUUCUAUUAUCUUGCAGUCUAAAACUUGGUAUGAUUUUGCCUAAUGUAUGGUCACUGAAUUGUAUAUAUUUUUUAAAUCACUGUACUCGGGUAUGUGAUAAUAAAGUGCCAUUGAACCAC